rnacentral:rRNA from 1 species
UGGGGAAUAUUGCACAAUGGGCGCAAGCCUGAUGCAGCCAUGCCGCGUGUAUGAAGAAGGCCUUCGGGUUGUAAAGUACUUUCAGUCGGGAGGAAGGUGGUAAGGUUAAUAACCUUAUCAAUCGACGUUACCGACAGAAGAAGCACCGGCUAACUCCGUGCCAGCAGCCGCGGUAAUACGGAGGGUGCAAGCGUUAACCGGAAUUACUGGGCGUAAAGCGCACGCAGGCGGUUUGUUAAGUCAGAUGUGAAAUCACCGAGCUCAACCUGGGAACUGCAUCUGAUCCUGGAGAGCUUGAGUCUCGUAGAGGGGGGUAGAAGUCCAGGUGUAGCGGUGAAAUGCGUAGAGAUCUGGCGGCAUACCGGUGGCGCAGGCGGCCCCCUGGACGAAGACUGCCGCUCAGGUGAGAACGCGUGGGGAGCAAACAGG